rfam:Schistosoma margrebowiei strain Zambia genome assembly, scaffold: SMRZ_scaffold0000306
GCACUGCUGAAGAGUCCCACGACAGGACGAGACGGCAGUCUAGUGC